rnacentral:rRNA from 1 species
GAUGAACGCUGGCGGCGUGCCUAAUACAUGCAAGUCGAGCGAAUGGAUUAAGAGCUUGCUCUUAUGAAGUUAGCGGCGGACGGGUGAGUAACACGUGGGUAACCUGCCCAUAAGACUGGGAUAACUCCGGGAAACCGGGGCUAAUACCGGAUAACAUAUUGAACCGCAUGGUUCGAAAUUGAAAGGCGGCUUCGGCUGUCACUUAUGGAUGGACCCGCGUCGCAUUAGCUAGUUGGUGAGGUAACGGCUCACCAAGGCAACGAUGCGUAGCCGACCUGAGAGGGUGAUCGGCCACACUGGGACUGGGACACGGCCCAGACUCCUACGGGAGGCAGCAGUAGGGAAUCUUCCGCAAUGGACGAGAGUCUGACGGAGCAACGCCGCGUGAGUGAUGAAGGCUUUCGGGUCGUAAAACUCUGUUGUUAGGGAAGAACAAGUGCUAGUUGAAUAAGCUGGCACCUUGACGGUACCUAACCAGAAAGCCACGGCUAACUACGUGCCAGCCGCCGCAGUAACAC